rnacentral:rRNA from 2 species
AACGCUGGCGGCACGCUUAACACAUGCAAGUCGAACGAGAUCUUCGGAUCUAGUGGCAGACGGGUGCGUAACGCGUGGGAACCUGCCCUUUAGUAAGGAAUAACCCAGGGAAACUUGUGCUAAUACCUUAUAAUCCCUUUGGGGGAAAGCUUUAUGCGCUAAUGGAUGGGCCCGCGUUAGAUUAGCUUGUUGGUGAGGUAAUGGCUCACCAAGGCGACGAUCUAUAGCUGGUCUGAGAGGAUGAUCAGCCACACUGGGACUGAGACACGGCCCAGACUCCUACGGGAGGCAGCAGUGGGGAAUAUUGGACAAUGGGGGCAACCCUGAUCCAGCGAUGCCGCGUGAGUGAUGAAGGCCCUAGGGUUGUAAAACUCUUUCGCCAGGGAAGAUAAUGACGGUACCGGUAAAG